GUACGGUCGCAAGACUGAAACUCAAAGGAAUUGACGGGGGCCCGCACAAGCGGUGGAGCAUGUGGCUUAAUUCGAUGCAACGCGAAGAACCUUACCCGGGCUAAAUCGGUGGUGACCGCUCCCGAAACGGAGCUUCCCUUCGGGGCACCAUCGAAGGUGCUGCAUGGCUGUCGUCAGCUCGUGCCGUGAGGUGUUGCCUUAAGUGGCGCAACGAGCGCAACCCCUGUGGUUAGUUACCAGCACGUUAUGGUGGGGACUCUAGCCAGACUGCCUACGCAAGUAGUGAGGAAGGUGGGGAUGACGUCGGAGGAAUUCCA
rnacentral:misc_RNA from 1 species